ACUCGCUUAUAGGAUUUUGUUAGUUUUUGACAAUUCACACGCUGGUCCGCAAUUGAACCUUCUCUAUAUUUUACAUUCUCUGACUGAAACUCCAACACAUUCAAAUAAAUUUUAAUAACACCACUACAUACACACAUACACAACAAAGGGUAAAAUGUGCAUAAACAUUUAACUCAACUCUUCUCUCAUACAGCACCCUGAAUGAUAGAAAGAAACAACCAAAGUUCUCGUAUUUGAACAAGUUUUGUUUUGAGCUAUAUCAUGGCUGCUUGUGAAGUAUUAUUUUGCGUGUUUUAUUUAAUUCAGUGAUCUGCAGCCUAAUUAAAGUAUAAAUUAUUGAAGCACGCAUUUUUAAAUAAGUAAAAUGUAAAAUAAAAGUUUUCUAAGGCCAAAAUAUGGAAUUGAAGAGGGUUAUACAGUAAUACUUCAUUGCACUAUCAAUUUGAAGCACGCAAUAGGAGCCAACAAUGGUCAACAUCAAUGGCGAAACCAUUGAAUACAUAUUUCAAACCUCAUAUGGCGCGUUAAAGGUUCUAAAACUUAUUGGUGCAAGCAAAUCCAAAACUAUGGACGCAAACGCUGCUACAUGGAACACAAAUCAUUCACACACCAGAUAUUACGUUUAAUGUCACUUUUUUCGUGCAAUUAAACAUUUUGGUCAACACAAGCACGAGAAUUGGAACGACAAUGUUUAGGUGUUCUGAAACCGUUUAUUAUCACGACGUGUGUCAACUGGGUUUUGCCAAUGAGCUAGAGGGCAAAGCAGUUUCAGUAUCUUUGAGCUUACCGGCACUUGGCCGUGCCAUUAGCAGCUAAAACACAGAAAUUAAAGGGAGGACUUUUUUGAUUCAUUUUCACCUUGUAUUGAGGAAUCAUAACGUUGUUGUAUCGCUUUACAAGGACAUAAAUUCACCGAAAUUAGUUCAAUGGAAAUACUACAGCAUGGAUGUUAAGACUUGAACGGUGCCGUGUUAGAUUUAGAAUUCCUGAAACAUAAGAAACCCUCCUCUCAGAUGAAUCUAGUACUAGUGAAAUUAAUGAAAGCACAGAUCUUAUAAAAACUCCGAAAGAAACCAAAAGAGUCCUCACAUAAUGUGCGCAGCUUACACUUCCAGACCGCACGGGGU